rnacentral:rRNA from 1 species
GAGUUUGAUCCUGGCUCAGGACGAACGCUGGCGGCGUGCCUAACACAUGCAAGUCGAACGGAGAUUGCAUUUAUGCUUUCUUAGUGGCGAACGGGUGAGUAACGCGUAGACAACCUACCUUCUAGAUGGGGACAACACUGGGAAACUAGUGCUAAUACCGAAUGUUGUAUUAAGGAUGCAUAUCCUAAAUACUAAAGGUGGCCUCUGAACAUGCUACCACUAGAAGAUGGGUCUGCGUCUGAUUAGCUAGUUGGUGAGGUAAUGGCUCACCAAGGCUACGAUCAGUAGCCGGUCUGAGAGGAUGAACGGCCACACUGGGACUGAGACAC